rnacentral:rRNA from 1 species
UACGUAGGGGGCGAGCGUUGUCCGGAAUCACUGGGCGUAAAGGGCGCGUAGGCGGUAAUAUAAGUCAGAUGUGAAAGGUGGGGGCUCAACCCCUAGAGUGCAACUGAUACUGUAUAACUUGAGUGUGAGAGAGGGAAGCGGAAUUCCUAGUGUAGCGGUGAAAUGCGUAGAUAUUAGGAGGAACACCAGUGGCGAAGGCGGCUUUCUGGCUCAUAACUGACGCUGAGGCGCGAAAGCGUGGGGAGCAAACA